AUGACGGUGGUCAUGGGUCGGCGCCAGUGCGCUCACUGGAUGCUGCUGCUCUUCUGUUGCCUCCUCCUCACGUCCCCCUCACAUGGUCAUCGUCACCAUCGACCCGCUGACGCGUUUGUCGGGGCAUACGGGAUAAACUACGGGAGAAUAGCGAACAACCUCCCGUCCCCGGACAAGGUGGUGGAGCUCCUCAGGAGGUCCAAGAUAAGGAAUGUCAAGAUAUAUAAUGAAGAUCACGCUGUGCUCGAUGCGUUCAAAGGGACAGGGCUCAACCUGGUCAUUGCUAUCAACAAUGGGUUGCUGAAUGCUCUUGCUGCCAAUGAGAGCGUUGCGAUUGACUGGCUGAAUGAGAACGUGAAGCCUUACAUUUCUCAUACACGCAUCGUUGGAAUCACUGUGGGGAAUGAGGUGCUGGGAGGCGAUCCGAGCUUGGCCGCUCCGCUCGUUGGAGCUGUUAAGAAUAUGUACGAUGGUCUCAAGAAACUGCAUCUGGAUGACAAAAUUGAGCUUUUCACACCCCACUCUGAAGCUGUGUUCGCUACUUCCUAUCCACCCUCUGCAUGUGUUUUCAAGGAAGAAAUCAUGGUGUAUAUGAAGCCACUGCUGGACUUGUUUUCACGGAUCGGCUCACCUUUCUAUGUCAAUGCAUAUCCCUUUUUGGCUUACUUAACUGAUCCGGGACAGAUCGACAUUAAUUAUGCUCUCUUUCAGCCCAACCCUGGAAUAGUUGAUCCGAAUACUAGUCUGCACUAUGACAACAUGUUUGAUGCGCAGAUAGAUGCAGCUUACGCUGCUCUGCAGGCUGUUGGUUAUAAUGACAUGGAAGUCCGGGUGGCAGAGACUGGCUGGGCUUCUAGUGGAGAUCCAAAUCAAGCAGGAGCAUCAGUUGAGAAUGCAAGGACUUACAAUUACAACCUCCGUAAGAGGCUCUUUUUGAGGAAGGGAACUCCUCUCAAGCCAAAGAUACCGGUCAAAGCAUACAUCUUUGCCUUGUUUAAUGAGAACUUGAAGAAUGGAGAUCCUACUGAGAAGCACUAUGGGCUCUUCAAUCCAGAUGGAAGGAUUUCAUAUGAUAUCGGUUACUCAGGUCUAUUACCUUCAUCAGCACCCGCAUCCUUGCUGUCAAUUAAGGAGAUGCGAGCCUGGGGUUGGAUUGCACACUAUUCGGCUGCAGUUAUCCUAGCUAUUUUCUUGUUUUAG
rnacentral:rRNA from 1 species